UUCAAGCGCCUUUUAAGGCUCCCACUCUAGCCCUGUUUUGAAAACUACAGUGAGAUUUCAUGUCAAACAAGGUACGUUCCUGCCCUCCCAUGGUUGACGAGCAGCGGCCGAGCAGCUGGAGUUCUUUCUGGCGUUUCGGGGAAGGACAGCGUUUGGGCGGCACUGGCCCCACCUCCUCCCAGUUCUGCGGGCAGCCCCGGCCCUGGAGCAGGCUGCCCAGGCUCGACGCUCAGCUCGUCACUCACAAGUGUCAGACCCAGGCAUGUUAUUGGUCCUCGGCAAGACUCAUUUUUCUCAUCCAAAAUGGAAAUCCUAAAAAAGCCUACCUAAUACGACUGUCACAAGGAUUAAAAAAAGAUUCGGUUUGUAAAGUGUCUACAUCAAGGCCUGGCACAUGGGUCUGUGUCUGGGGAACCUGCCUAAGACAGACGGUGCCAUAAGUAGUCCCAGGAAGCUGGCGAAGACAGGAUUCUGGGUGCAGCUCAUUUACCAGCAAGAUGGAAGAUGGGGACCCCCAUCUGUGGUGACCAUUUCCAGACAGCAUGUCCCAGUCGGUGUGGUGUUUGGACAGCAAAGGAUAACGUGCUAGCCAAGAGGCAGCUGCAGGAGGACACUUAAGCAUUAUAAAAAAGCAGGGACCUGAAGUUAGCAAGCCUGGACCUCAAAUCCUAGCUGCACCCCAGCCAGCUCUUCAACAUUGGCCACGUUUUAUCCCUGUCCGGACCAAGUUGCUGCUGCUGCUAAGUCACUUCAGUUGUGUCCAACUCUGUGUGACCCCACAGACAGCAGCCCACCAGGCUCCCUCGUCCCUGGGA